GACGAACGCUGGCGGCAUGCCUAAUACAUGCAAGUCGAGCGAACAGAUGAAGUGCUUGCACUUCUGACGUUAGCGGCGAACGGGUGAGUAACACGUAAGGAAUCUACCUAUAAGCGGGGGAUAACAUUCGGAAACGGGUGCUAAUACCGCAUAAUAUCUUCUUCCGCAUGGAAGAAGAUUGAAAGACGGCUCUGCUGUCACUUAUAGAUGACCUUGCGGUGCAUUAGUUAGUUGGUGGGGUAACGGCCUGCCAAGACGAUGAUGCAUAGCCGACCUGAGAGGGUGAUCGGCCACAUUGGGACUGAGACACGGCCCAAACUCCUACGGGAGGCAGCAGUAGGGAAUCUUCCGCAAUGGGCGAAAGCCUGACGGAGCAAUGCCGCGUGAGUGAAGAAGGCCUUCGGGUCGUAAAACUCUGUUAUAAGAGAAGAACAAAUUGUAGAGUAACUGCUACAGUCUUGACGGUAACUUAUCAGAAAGCCACGGCUAACUACGUGCCAGCCGCCGCGGUAA
rnacentral:rRNA from 1 species